UUUGUAAUACCGCACUGAUAUGGGUGUGGAUCCAAAGCCUCUCGAAGGAUAAUAUAGACACUCCAUAGCCUACUCCGACUCAAUACGUGUAGGUCAUACAAAAUGGUGACAUAUCUCACCAAAUAUCUGAGCUUGGAUAUAUGGGGAAACCCAACCCCUUGGAAAGAUCGGUUAUAUGGCUAAAUUGAGCGAA
rnacentral:ribozyme from 1 species